UUUAAUUUUCACAUAUUAAAAAAGUAAUACUUCUCACUCACACCAAUUAGAAGUAUUUGGAACUUCCUCCCAUCGCUCUCUCACCCCCAAUUUCUCAAACCCUAUUUUAUGCAAUCUCCCUCUUUCCCGCUCACCAACCUAGACCAAAUCAUUGGCAUGUAUCGCCGGAUCAUCGUCGACUCCUUCUUAUCUCAUCUGAUGUUUUCCUUCCUUCCCCUCUUCUCGCCAUCGAGACUGUAGCGUCAAUAGGGAAGAAAUUACAAAGCUUCUGGUCUCCGGAUGCUUGCAAUGCGUUCUUUUGCCCUGUUGCGCCUUUGAUGAUGUCAAUUCCCAUCUCCAAACAAGGUUCAGCUAGGAGCCUGAGCCCAUGAGCUGGGAUAUUACACGAAAGGACUUGGUUCUUGCUUGCUAGACAUGUACAAAGAGGCCUAUGAAAAGUAUGUGGAACAUCAUAUUUCUUGUGCUUUACCUUCUUUUCUUAACUUUGUCGGCUGGGUCUUUGCAUAGUCAGUUUGAUUAUAAUUUACAACAUUUAUGAGAGUAUGACUUAGAUUGUUGGCUAUAAAAGCUCUUAUUAGUACAACCUUCUGAAGACAAGCACAAUAUUUCUUUUCUUGUUUCUACAUAUUAAUCUUUGUUUAGAUCAGUCAUACAAAUCUAAUUGAAGUUUGUCGACUUUCUAUAAUGAUUGUUACUGUCUAUAAUAAUGUGUUUCAAAUGCUUGGUAUAACUUUAAUGUUGAUGAAUCUACUACAAUGUGCACGUUAGAGAUGUAACAUGUAAAAUAAUCAGAUUACUGCUACAUUAACUGCCCUUAUGUCCUUGAUCUCUUUAUAGACAUGAAACUUGAGGAUAUAUUUGAUACUUAGUUGAGGUUCAAUAGUUUUCUUGAGGUGUGUGGAGAGAAAAUACUAUGACAUAAUCUCUAAUGUGAAUGUUACGUGUCCUACGGAAGGUAAAAGCAAUCUUUUCCUAUUCAAGGUGUUCACGCAUGAUUGAUGAUGAUGAACAUAUAUUGUAGAAGGCCAUAUGGCACCAGAUUUGUGGAUCUCCAUCGAUCGAGUCAGAAAGAUCAUUGUACAUGUGCCAAUUAGUAACCAGUGUUUAGAUCAACUAUGGUGUUAUUUUUGGGUCUUAUGUUGAAUAAUUAUUUGAAGCUUUAGUACAUUUGAUGUUGUAAUUGUGGAGUACUUGUAUUUUUUAUACAAUAUCUUUUAUGUUUAAUUUUUUA